AAACCAUGUUGUGGCCAUGAAUUAACGAGAUCCUUGAACUGCUCCUAAUAUUGGAAGAAUAUUUCAUCUUCCUUUUGGGAAAAGUUCAUGAUCAACUUCCUGAUAGC